rnacentral:rRNA from 1 species
AUUGAACGCUGGCGGCAGGCCUAACACAUGCAAGUCGAGCGGAUGAAGGGAGCUUGCUCCUGGAUUCAGCGGCGGACGGGUGAGUAAUGCCUAGGAAUCUGCCUGGUAGUGGGGGAUAACGUCCGGAAACGGGCGCUAAUACCGCAUACGUCCUGAGGGUGAAAGUGGGGGUUCUUCGGACCUCACGCUAUCAGAUGAGCCUAGGUCGGAUUAGCUAGUUGGUGGGGUAAAGGCCUACCAAGGCGACGAUCCGUAACUGGUCUGAGAGGAUGAUCAGUCACACUGGAACUGAGAAACGGUCCAGACGCCUACGGGAGGCAGCAGUGGGGAAUAUUGGACAAUGGGCGAAAGCCUGAUCCAGCCAUGCCGCGUGUGUGAAGAAGGUCUUCGGAUUGUAAAGCACUUUAAGUUGGGAGGAAGGGAAGUAAGUUAAUACCUUGCUGUUUUGACGUUACCAACAGAAUAAGCACCGGCUAACUUCGUG